AUGGCACGAACAAAGGACCAACAUGCUAUCUCUAGGGACCUGCAUGCAAGGCCUAGGGACCUUCAUGUUAAUGUGAGAGAUGUGGAUGGACCAAUUCGGCGCUCUGGAUGGAAACCACCGGAAGCUCAUGCUACCAAAAUCAUUGCAGACGGCGGGUUCUCCAAGAUAGGAGACUGUGGUGCCUCUGCUGUUGUUUGUCGGGAUAAGAGUGGAAAUUAUUUGGGGGCGUCGGUGAUUAUUUGCGAAGGCCUAUUGGACCCAACCAUUCUGGAGGCCUGGGCGUGUAGUGAGGCACUCGCGCUAGCCAUUGAUCUUCAGCUUCAGUCUGUCUGUGUGGCUUCCGACUGCGUGGAAGUAGUUACCCGGAUUGAGGAUGAUUCCCCUUGCAUCUAUUUUCCCAUCCUGCAGGACAUGCAUCAAGCAUCAGAAGCGGUUUCUAAAUGA
rnacentral:rRNA from 1 species